rnacentral:rRNA from 1 species
GCCUAACACAUGCAAGUCGAACGAGGUCCAUCCUUCGGGAGAAGACCUAGUGGCGAACGGGUGAGUAACACGUGAGGAACCUGCCCCGGAGACCGGGAUAACCCUCCGAAAGGAGAGCUAAUACCGGAUACCCCCACCGAACCGCAUGGUUUGGUGAGGAAAUGGAUUCCGCUUCGGGAGGGCCUCGCGGCCUAUCAGCUAGUUGGUGGGGUAACGGCCCACCAAGGGCAUCGACGGGUAGCUGGUCUGAGAGGACGAUCAGCCACACUGGGACUGAGACACGGCCCAGACUCCUACGGGAGGCAGCAGUGGGGAAUCUUGCGCAAUGGGCGAAAGCCUGACGCAGCAACGCCGCGUGGGGAUGAAGGCUCUCGGGUUGUAAACCCCUUUCAGCAGGGACGAAUCAAGACGGUACCUGCAGAAGAAGCCCCGGCUAACUACGUG